AUAAAAGUAUCGGUAGGGGAGCAUUCCAUCGGCGCAGAAUGCAAAGGAUGACCUUUGCUGGAGCUUAUGGAAAAGCAAAUGUAGGUAUAAGUAACGAUAAAAGGGGUUAGAUUCCCCUUCGCCGCAAGACCAAGGUUUCCCGGGCAAUGCCAAUCAGCCCGGGGUUAGUCAGGUCCUAAGUCUCAGCCGAACGGCGAUGGCGAUGGCAGAAACGGUUAAUAUUCCGUUACUGCCGCAUGGAGUGAUGUGGAGACGGAGCAGUGACACUACCGCGGAGAUACGGAAUUCUCCGUUGAAGGGUGUAGGCGCAGAUUGAGGCAGGCAAAUCCACCUUGAGAGCCGAACCUGAUAGUAUGGAGUCUUCUUCGGAAGAGUCCAAUAGUGUAGGUAAUCAUACUUCCUAGAAAAUCCGCUAAACUUAAUCCAUGCGGCACCUGUACCGCAAACGGACACACGUGGUCGGGUAGAACAUACUAAGGCGUUGAGAGAUUCUUGGUUAAGGAACUAGGCAAAUUGACCCUGUAACUUCGGGAUAAAGGGUCCUCACAGCAAUGUGAGGCGCAGAGAAUAGGUCCAGGCAACUGUUUAACAAAAACACAGGGCUGUGCAAACUCGAAAGAUGACGUAUACAGCCUGACACCUGCCCGGUGCCGGAAGGUUAAGAGGAGAAGUCAGUAGCAAUAUGAAGCUUUGAAUUGAAG
rnacentral:rRNA from 1 species